rfam:Haemonchus contortus, ISE/inbred ISE, WGS project CAVP01000000 data, contig: Hcontortus_36282
GUCUUGGUAGUGUAAGGAAGAAGAGCACAGUCCCCGGAAAGGACAAGCACGGGUUCGAGUCCCGUCCGAGGCU